GAACCCACCUGACACAAGUUGGGUACUCACUCGAUAUAGAGUGUAGAGCGAACGAGGGGAACUGAAACAUCUAAGUACCCUUAGGAAGAGAAAUCAAUUGAGAUUCCCGUAGUAGUGGCGAGCGAAGUGGGAAGAGCCUGGUAUGAUUUAGCUGUAAUUAUAGUAGAACAAGUUGGGAAGCUUGACGAUAGAGGGUGAUAGUCCCGUAUACGAAAUAAUCACAGUGGAACUAAGCAUACGAACAAGUAGGACGGGGCACGUGGAACCUUGUCUGAAUAUGGGGGGACCAUCCUCCAAGGCUAAAUACUCCUGAAUGACCGAUAGUGAACUAGUACCGUGAGGGAAAGGUGAAAAGAACCCUUAUAAAGGGAGUGAAAUAGAAUCUGAAACCGC
rnacentral:rRNA from 1 species